GCACUGCUGAGGAGUCCCACAAUAGAACGAAAUAGCCGUCCCGUGC
rfam:Schistosoma mansoni strain Puerto Rico chromosome 3, complete genome